UGGGAAACUGGGUCUAAUACCGGAUACGACCGAUCACCGCAUGGUGUGUUGGUGGAAAGCUUUUGCGGUUUUGGAUGGACUCGCGGCCUAUCAGCUUGUUGGUGGGGUAAUGGCCUACCAAGGCGACGACGGGUAGCCGGCCUGAGAGGGUGACCGGCCACACUGGGACUGAGACACGGCCCAGACUCCUACGGGAGGCAGCAGUGGGGAAUAUUGCACAAUGGGCGAAAGCCUGAUGCAGCGACGCCGCGUGAGGGAUGACGGCCUUCGGGUUGUAAACCUCUUUCAGUAGGGAAGAAGCGUAAGUGACGGUACCUGCAGAAGAAGCGCCGGCUAACUACGUGCCAGCAGCCGCGGUAAUACGUAGGGCGCAAGCGUUAUCCGGAAUUAUUGGGCGUAAAGAGCUCGUAGGCGGUUUGUCGCGUCUGCUGUGAAAGACCGGGGCUCAACUCCGGUUCUGCAGUGGGUACGGGCAGACUAGAGUGAUGUAGGGGAGACUGGAAUUCCUGGUGUAGCGGUGAAAUGCGCAGAUAUCAGGAGGAACACCGAUGGCGAAGGCAGGUCUCUGGGCAUUAACUGACGCUGAGGAGCGAAAGCAUGGGGAGCGAACAGGAUUAGAUACCCUGGUAGUCCAUGCCGUAAACGUUGGGCACUAGGUGUGGGGGACAUUCCACGUUUUCCGCGCCGUAGCUAACGCAUUAAG
rnacentral:rRNA from 1 species